rnacentral:tRNA from 22 species
GCCGGAGUGGUGAAAUUGGUAGACGCAGGGGACUCAAAAUCCCCCGCCGCAAGGCGUGCCGGUUCGAUUCCGGCCUCCGGCACCA